rnacentral:lncRNA from 1 species
CACUCUCUUCUUCCUGAGCUCUACCCACAAAGGAAAGAUUGUGGCAUAUUACUGAACUAAGCAACCUAGUGACGUGUCUCUUCUGACUGGGGCUUGCCCACAGAGACAACUGUGACAUAGCACUGAGCCCAGGACCCAGGUGAUGUGACUCUGCUGCCUGUUUCCAACAUUCAUGAGAGGAUGGUAACUAUCCCUUGCCAAGAACUCAGGUGAUUUGACUGUCCUGCCUUGUUGCUGCCCUCAGAGAAGAUUGUGAUAUAUCUUCAGCCCCAAACCCAGUUUUUGCCCACAGGGGAGAUUGUGACAUAUCACUGGGCCUCAAACUAAGGUGAAGUUACACUUUCAUUUUCGAACUGUACUCAGAAGGCAUCGUGACAUAUUCCUGGGCCCAGCACCAAGGUGAUGUGAGUCUCCUGCCUGCACUUUGCCCACAAAUGGCA